rnacentral:rRNA from 1 species
AGGUGUUCCUUGAGGAGUGGCUUCCGGAGCUAACGCGUUAAGUCGACCGCCUGGGGAGUACGGCCGCAAGGUUAAAACUCAAAUGAAUUGACGGGGGCCCGCACAAGCGGUGGAGCAUGUGGUUUAAUUCGAUGCAACGCGAAGAACCUUACCUACUCUUGACAUCCAGAGAACUUAGCAGAGAUGCUUUGGUGCCUUCGGGAACUCUGAGACAGGUGCUGCAUGGCUGUCGUCAGCUCGUGUUGUGAAAUGUUGGGUUAAGUCCCGCAACGAGCGCAACCCUUAUCCUUUGUUGCCAGCGGUUCGGCCGGGAACUCAAAGGAGACUGCCAGUGAUAAACUGGAGGAAGGUGGGGAUGACGUCAAGUCAUCAUGGCCCUUACGAGUAGGGCUACACACGUGCUACAAUGGCGCAUACAAAGAGAAGCGACCUCGCGAGAGCAAGCGGACCUCAUAAAGUGCGUCGUAGUCCGGAUCGGAGUCUGCAACUCGACUCCGUGAAGUCGGAAUCGCUAGUAAUCGUAGAUCAGAAUGCUACGGUGAAUACGUUCCCGGGCCUUGUACUCCCCGCCCGUCAAAA